GGGGCCGAUCGGUUUCGACGUGGGGUGGAAAGUCUGUCUGCGUGUGGCGGCGCCCGAACCGCUUCAAAAAUCGGGUCCGUUUAGUUGCGAACGAUAACGCACAGCUCCUCGCUGCUUAAUUAAGCGAGCAUCCAAAGGGAAGGUCGUCCUAGUACCCCGCGGGUGUCAAUCACAGGGCUGGAUGACGCAAGGCCGCUCUAUGUACCGUCAUCGAGAUUCACAGAGAGCUAGGUUGUAGCCGAAUCUACAAACCCCGUCGCAAGGGUCAGCGCGACUACACACGUGAACGAAGGCAGCCCGGAAACCUCGCGGACCCGGGUUCGAUUCCCGGCGGCUCCACAA
rnacentral:tmRNA from 1 species